AUAAGAUAAACGAGAGAUGGAUCAUAUGUCACAGAAAAAUGAGAUUUUAAGAAAUAAACCAAUAAUUAUGAAAUGAAAGAAGUAUCAUCGCUUACGACACAAAGCAGUAUUGAUCUGUCAUAAGUCUAAAAAAUAUGAUAAAUUUAUAAUGUCGUAGGAAAAAGAUGGAAGGCAUCAAAUGAUAAAUGGUAAAUGAUAAAUGGGGGAGAAAUGGACCAAACAUGAUAGAUAUAUCAAAGAAAAAGUUGCUUUUGCUAAAAUCCUCUUUCGUCAAAAAAAAAUCCUCAAUGAAUAUAUGAAAUGAAUUAGUUAUUAAAUAAUUAACAAGAAAUUCCAUGUGUCUUAACAUUUAGACCAAAAAAAAAAAGAAACAAAAAAUUCCAUGUGACUUCCUUUAGCAUUGGUGGAGGUUAAUAUAUCUCUUCAGUCUCAUUCUCUCUUUCACGUCGAAAAAAUAUUAUAGAAGGCACUGCAUAGUCUCUUAUAGGGGUGGGCAUUUUACCCGAAAUCCGAAGUGGCACCCGAACCCGAUCCGAAAAACCCGAACCGAAAUCCGAACCGAAGUAGCAAAAUAUCCGUACGGGUAUUGAAUUAGGAGAGAUUGGAUAUCCGAACCCGAACGGGUAAUAUCCGAACCCGAAUGGAUAUCCGAAAAUAACCGAACAUAUGAUAAUUAACCUUAUAUUUAUAGUUUACAUCUUUCAUUUUAUAUAAAAUAUUUAUAUUGAUA
rnacentral:lncRNA from 1 species